rnacentral:rRNA from 1 species
AUCUACUGAAAGAGUUUUCGGACAAUGGAAGUAGAGGAAAGUGGCGGACGGGUGAGUAACGCGUGAGGAACCUGCCUUGAAGAGGGGGACAACAGUUGGAAACGACUGCUAAUACCGCAUGAAGCAUAGGGGUCGCAUGAUCUUUAUGCCAAAGAUUUAUCGCUUCAAGAUGGCCUCGCGUCUGAUUAGCUGGUUGGCGGGGUAAUGGCCCACCAAGGCGACGAUCAGUAGCCGGACUGAGAGGUUGAACGGCCACAUUGGGACUGAGAUACGGCCCAGACUCCUACGGGAGGCAGCAGUGGGGAAUAUUGGGCAAUGGGCGCAAGCCUGACCCAGCAACGCCGCGUGAAGGAAGAAGGCUUUCGGGUUGUAAACUUCUUUUAAGAGGGAAGAGCAGAAGACGGUACCUCUAGAAUAAGCCACGGCUAACUACGUGCCAGCAGCCGCGGUAAUACGUAGGUGGCAAGCGUUGUCCGGAUUUACUGGGUGUAAAGGGCGUGCAGCCGGGUCUGCAAGUCAGAUGUGAAAUCCAUGGGCUCAACCCAUGAACUGCAUUUGAAACUGUAGAUCUUGAGUGUCGGAGGGGCAAUCGGAAUUCCUAGUGUAGCGGUGAAAUGCGUAGAUAUUAGGAGGAACACCAGUGGCGAAGGCGGAUUGCUGGACGAUAACUGACGGUGAGGCGCGAAAGUGUGGGGAGCAAA